rnacentral:rRNA from 1 species
GACGAACGCUGGCGGCGUGCCUAAUACAUGCAAGUAGGACGCAGUUGCGAACGGGUGAGUAACGCGUAGGUAACUACCUAUGAGAGGGGGAUAACUAUUGGAAACGAUAGCUAAUACCGCAUACUAGUAGAUGGACCUGCGUUGUAUUUGCUAGUAGGUAGGGUAAUGGCCUACCUAGGCAACGAUACAUAACCGGCCGGGGCGGGUGGUCGGCCACACUGGGACUGGGUCACCGCUCAGACUCCUACGGGGAGCAGUAAUAGGGGAACUUCGGCCAUGGGGGGAACCCUGUCCGAGCAACGCCGCGUGGGUGGAGGAGGUUUUCGGGUCUUAAAGCUCUGUUGUUAAGGAAGCGGUACUUAACCAGAAAGGAACGGCUAACUACGUGCCAGCCGCCGCGGUAAUUC